rnacentral:rRNA from 1 species
CAUAGGUUAAUGAGGCGAACCGGGGGAACUGAAACAUCUAAGUACCCCGAGGAAAAGAAAUCAACCGAGAUUCCCCCAGUAGCGGCGAGCGAACGGGGAGCAGCCCAGAGCCUGAAUCAGUGUGUGUGUUAGUGGAAGCGUCUGGAAAGGCGCGCGAUACAGGGUGACAGCCCCGUACACAAAAAUGCACAUGCUGUGAGCUCGAUGAGUAGGGCGGGACACGUGGUAUCCUGUCUGAAUAUGGGGGGACCAUCCUCCAAGGCUAAAUACUCCUGACUGACCGAUAGUGAACCAGUACCGUGAGGGAAAGGCGAAAAGAACCCCGGCGAGGGGAGUGAAAAAGAACCUGAAACCGUGUACGUACAAGCAGUGGGAGCACGCUUAGGCGUGUGACUGCGUACCUUUUGUAUAAUGGGUCAGCGACUUAUAUUCUGUAGCAAGGUUAACCGAAUAGGGGAGCCGAAGGGAAACCGAGUCUUAACUGGGCGUUAAGUUGCAGGGUAUAGACCCGAAACCCGGUGAUCUAGCCAUGGGCAGGUUGAAGGUUGGGUAACACUAACUGGAGGACCGAACCGACUAAUGUUGAAAAAUUAGCGGAUGACUUGUGGCUGGGGGUGAAAGGCCAAUCAAACCGGGAGAUAGCUGGUUCUCCCCGAAAGCUAUUUAGGUAGCGCCUCGUGAAUUCAUCUCCGGGGGUAGAGCACUGUUUCGGCAAGGGGGUCAUCCCGACUUACCAACCCGAUGCAAACUGCGAAUACCGGAGAAUGUUAUCACGGGAGACACACGGCGGGUGCUAACGUCCGUCGUGAAGAGGGAAACAACCCAGACCGCCAGCUAAGGUCCCAAAGUCAUGGUUAAGUGGGAAACGAUGUGGGAAGGCCCAGACAGCCAGGAUGUUGGCUUAGAAGCAGCCAUCAUUUAAAGAAAGCGUAAUAGCUCACUGGUCGAGUCGGCCUGCGCGGAAGAUGUAACGGGGCUAAACCAUGCACCGAAGCUGCGGCAGCGACGCUUAUGCGUUGUUGGGUAGGGGAGCGUUCUGUAAGCCUGUGAAGGUGUGCUGUGAGGCAUGCUGGAGGUAUCAGAAGUGCGAAUGCUGACAUAAGUAACGAUAAAGCGGGUGAAAAGCCCGCUCGCCGGAAGACCAAGGGUUCCUGUCCAACGUUAAUCGGGGCAGGGUGAGUCGACCCCUAAGGCGAGGCCGAAAGGCGUAGUCGAUGGGAAACAGGUUAAUAUUCCUGUACUUGGUGUUACUGCGAAGGGGGGACGGAGAAGGCUAUGUUGGCCGGGCGACGGUUGUCCCGGUUUAAGCGUGUAGGCUGGUUUUCCAGGCAAAUCCGGAAAAUCAAGGCUGAGGCGUGAUGACGAGGCACUACGGUGCUGAAGCAACAAAUGCCCUGCUUCCAGGAAAAGCCUCUAAGCAUCAGGUAACAUCAAAUCGUACCCCAAACCGACACAGGUGGUCAGGUAGAGAAUACCAAGGCGCUUGAGAGAACUCGGGUGAAGGAACUAGGCAAAAUGGUGCCGUAACUUCGGGAGAAGGCACGCUGAUACGUAGGUGAAGUCCCUCGCGGAUGGAGCUGAAAUCAGUCGAAGAUACCAGCUGGCUGCAACUGUUUAUUAAAAACACAGCACUGUGCAAACACGAAAGUGGACGUAUACGGUGUGACGCCUGCCCGGUGCCGGAAGGUUAAUUGAUGGGGUCAGCGCAAGCGAAGCUCUUGAUCGAAGCCCCGGUAAACGGCGGCCGUAACUAUAACGGUCCUAAGGUAGCGAAAUUCCUUGUCGGGUAAGUUCCGACCUGCACGAAUGGCGUAAUGAUGGCCAGGCUGUCUCCACCCGAGACUCAGUGAAAUUGAACUCGCUGUGAAGAUGCAGUGUACCCGCGGCAAGACGGAAAGACCCCGUGAACCUUUACUAUAGCUUGACACUGA